CGUCGCUGCCCGGGACUGAGUUGUUUCGAGAAAAGCGGGGAUAACGCUUUGUGCUUUUUCGGAAGUGCAUUGUUGGGCGAACCGCGUUAAUCGAAACGGCUUGAACCGGGCAAAAGUCGUAACAAGGUUUCCGUAGGUGAACCUGCGGAAGGAUCAUUAUUGAGCUUAAAACUAUUUGAUAUCUUAUGAUACUAUUCUGAACGAUGUUUAAAGGAAUUGUGAUUACUUUGAAAAACGGCAUUUUAUUGGUUUCGGAAGGCGUUUGGAUCAGUUGUAUGAUCGUGGCUGUGUUGAUAAACGUUUUACAUUGCUUAUAAGCAGUGAGAAUUAAAGUAGCUGGUCGGUAGCUCGCCAGUAUUUAUCAUUAUUGUUAUACGUUUGCCCAGUAUUGCUACACUAAUCCUAAGUGUAUGAUUGAAUAAAUAGUAACAAGUCUUAUCGGUGGAUCACUCGGUUCGUAGAUCGAUGAAGAACGGGGCUAGAACCGUUAUGUAGCGUGAAUUGCAGACAUAUUGAGCGCUAAAAUUUUGAACGCAUAUGGCACUAACAGGUUUAUAUCUGUUAGAAUGUUUAAUUGAGGGUUGAUUAACUUGGUGCUUGCAGUCAGCUGUGACUGUUUUUCGAAUAGCUAAUUGCCUUGUGUAAUUACUUAUUCGGUAUGAUUGUUACAAUAGCUAAAGGAAUGUGUUUGCUAUUUUAUCAAGUCUGGCAAAGAAACAGUUUUGUUUGGUGCGUUUCUUGCUGUCUGACUUGUGCACAAGUGUGUAUAUAGACUGAAUUGUUGAAGUUAGUGUAGAACUGUUGUAAUAUCGGCAUGUUUUGUUGAUUUACUUUGUUUUUGUCAGUAUUCCCGAAAGAUGAAUUGAAUUUGCAACCUCAAUUUAAGCAAGGUUACCCGCUAAACUUAAGCAUAUCAGUAAGCG
rnacentral:rRNA from 1 species